GUAGCAGUACGGGUGAGUAACGCGUGGGAAUCUACCAUUUGCUACGGAACAACUCCGGGAAACUGGAGCUAAUACCGUAUGUGCCCUAACGGGGAAAGAUUUAUCGGCAAAUGAUGAGCCCGCGUUGGAUUAGCUAGUUGGUGGGGUAAAGGCCUACCAAGGCGACGAUCCAUAGCUGGUCUGAGAGGAUGAUCAGCCACACUGGGACUGAGACACGGCCCAGACUCCUACGGGAGGCAGCAGUGGGGAAUAUUGGACAAUGGGCGCAAGCCUGAUCCAGCCAUGCCGCGUGAGUGAUGAAGGCCCUAGGGUUGUAAAGCUCUUUCACCGGUGAAGAUAAUGACGGUAACCGGAGAAGAAGCCCCGGCUAACUUCGUGCCAGCAGCCGCGGUAAUACGAAGGGGGCUAGCGUUGUUCGGAUUUACUGGGCGUAAAGCGCACGUAGGCGGACUUUUAAGUCAGGGGUGGAAAUCCCGGGGCUCAACCCCGGGAACUGCCCU
rnacentral:rRNA from 2 species